ensembl:snRNA U4 U4 spliceosomal RNA
AGCUUUGCGCAGUGGCAGUAUCGUAGCCAAUGAGGUUUAUCUGAGGCACGAUUAUUGCUAAUUGAAAACAACACUCAAAAUUACUUGAUAAUUGACUAUUUUUUUAAAGUUCAUUUCUUUUAUGACGGCAAGAGUGAA